GAAAUUAAUUUUUAAAAAAGUGACUUUAACAUACAUGUAAAAAAAAACUUACUGCAUUUUCCAGCCAACUAACCUACCGAUAGCACUGAACAUAAUAUCCAAAAGAGAGUUAAGCCUUUGGUGAGUGAGUUUAAUAUCUCAGAAGUUUAAGAACUACGACGUCGAUAAAGAUCAUGGAAGUCAAUUCUGUCAGGUUCCAUUGUCAACGAUUAUCGGCUAAUCAGCAGUCGAUAUUACUCUCAUCUUUCAAACAUUAAUCGAAAGGCCGUCGAUAAAAGAAACCAUGGAGGAAUGAAGACACCAAGGACAAACUCAUUGGAAGAAAAAGACCUACAGCACAUGAGGUCUGGCACCCUUAGGAGAGCGUUUCUCUAGUGAGAAGAUGUAGACGUUAA